rnacentral:rRNA from 1 species
UGGGGAAUAUUGCACAAUGGGCGCAAGCCUGAUGCAGCCAUGCCGCGUGUAUGAAGAAGGCCUUCGGGUUGUAAAGUACUUUCAGCGGGGAGGAAGGGAGUAAAGUUAAUACCUUUACUCAUUGACGUUACCCGCAGAAGAAGCACCGGCUAACUCCGUGCCAGCAGCCGCGGUAAUACGGAGGGUGCAAGCUUUAAUCGGAAUUACUGGGCGUAAAGCGCACGCAGGCGGUUUGUUAAGUCAGAUGUGAAAUCCCCGGGCUCAACCUGGGAACUGCAUCUGAUACUGGCAAGCUUGAGUCUCGUAGAGGGGGGUAGAAUUCCAGGUGUAGCGGUGAAAUGCGUAGAGAUCUGGAGUAAUACCGGUGGCGAAGGCGGCCCCCUGGACGAAGACUGACGCUCAGGUGCGAAAGCGUGGGGAGCAAACAGG